rnacentral:rRNA from 1 species
AGGGGGAACCKGAUCCAGCCAUGCCGCGUGUGUGAAGAAGGUCUUCGGAUUGUAAAGCACUUUAAGUUGGGAGGAAGGGCUGAUGCUUAAUACGUAUCAGUCUUGACGUUACCGACAGAAUAAGCACCGGCUAACUCUGUGCCAGCAGCCGCGGUAAUACAGAGGGUGCAAGCGUUAAUCGGAAUUACUGGGCGUAAAGCGCGCGUAGGUGGCUAAGUAAGAUGGGUGUGAAAUCCCCGGGCUCAACCUGGGAACUGCAUCCAUAACUGCUUAGCUAGAGUACGGUAGAGGGUAGUGGAAUUUCCUGCGUAGCGGUGAAAUGCGUAGAUAUAGGAAGGAACACCAGUGGCGAAGGCGACUACCUGGACUGAUACUGACACUGAGGUGCGAAAGUGUGGGUAGCGAACAGGAUUAGAUACCCUGGUAGUCCACACCGUAAACGCUGUCUACUAGCUGUUUGUGGCUUUAAGCCGUGAGUAGCGAAGCUAACGCGCUAAGUAGACCGCCUGGGGAGUACGGCCGCAAGGUUAAAACUCAAAUGAAUUGACGGGGGCCCGCACAAGCGGUGGAGCAUGUGGUUUAAUUCGAUGCAACGCGAAGAACCUUACCUACACUUGACAUGCAGAGAACUUUCUAGAGAUAGAUUGGUGCCUUCGGGAACUCUGACACAGGUGCUGCAUGGCUGUCGUCAGCUCGUGUCGUGAGAUGUUGGGUUAAGUCCCGCAACGAGCGCAACCCUUGUCCUUAGUUGCCAGCAUUCAGUUGGGCACUCUAAGGAGACUGCC